GAUGAGGCCCAGGCCAUCCAGGCUGCUACUUCCCUGGUCAGUGCUCAAGGCAGGGAGAGCUGCAGGGAGCAUGUGCUGUGGACUUUUCAAGGAAGAGGCUCUCCCCAGAGGGGCCGGCCCAGCCCAGAACAUGAACCAGCCACCAUCUAGAUAUAAAGCCCAUCCUUGCUUUCAGAAGAUGCACCCAGGCAGCCUGUUAUCCCCAAAUCCCAAGCCAGGGAAGGGAAAACAGGCAGGAAUCCCAUGCCAGCACUGUGCUGAGGCCUUACUUUAUCCAUGUGUUUAAUCUCUGCACUGAUCACAUAAGGUAGGUGGUGUUAAUCUGCACAUUUUACAGAUGGAGAAACCAAAGCACAGAGAGGCUAAGAGACUCGCCCAAGGACACCAGCAAGUAAGUAGCAAACUACCAUUUGGAACUCAGAGUUGCGCUCCUAGCUACAGCUCUAGAAGUCAGCUCCACGAGCACUGCUAUCUACAUGCCAGCGCCACACUUAACCUGUCCUCCAGAACAGAGUUUUCACAUGAAAUCUGCUGUGCAAAGAUACUGGGUCAGUACCUUUGGAGGGGGCCUAUGGAUCUGCUCUGUGACCAGUACCCGCUGGCACCCCUCAUAGAGGUGGAGUGCCCUCCAGUAGCACUGAGAACCCUUGGUUCCUCACCUGUAAAAUGGGGCUAACACACCUGGCAGGUGGCUGAGAGGAUUACCUGACAGCCUAGCUGUGUGUGAAUGGCCGGAGGUGAGUGAGGUUCGCUGGGUGUGAAAUCGAGGGACCAUCAAGGCCACUUUCAGGAUGCUUUUGGACAAAGCAUGUCUCUACUGAAUCUCAGUUUCCUCAUCUGUAAAUGUAGGGGUUGACCUCACUGAGUUCCUCCCAGCCCUGGUGUUGCAGAACAGGAAUUCUCACCCUUUUGGGUCAUGGACUCCCAUGAGCAUCCCAUGGAAGAGACAGACUCUUGCCCCAGAAUCACGUGCGCCCACCUGCACACACACACACAGUUGUCCACAACUUAGGGUUCAUGGAACUCCUGAAACUAGACUCUAGGUCUAGAGCCCCAGCUUUGGAGCAGCCCCAAGGUCUAAGUUUCCCUUGGAUUUGGUCUUCAAAAAUCCCUGCAGCUGGUGGGCAGGCCCCUCUUUGGCCCAUUUAGUCUCCAUCCCCCUAGUCACCCUUGGCCACCCCCAAGGCCAAGUUCCCCUUGCCCUCAAGGGUCAUGGAGGACUGAGACCUGGAACACAGAGGGGCAGAAUGAGCUCUCCCCCCUGCCCAGAAUGCCUCCUCACCCUGCCCAUGCAGCCAACCCUCACUCCUCCCUUGAGGUUUCUCUCAAAUGGCACCCUUUUCCCUUCUCUGGUACAGACUGUGAGCCCCCGGGGUCCAUCACCCCAGGACGACUUGUGGAGGGUGUUCUGAGGUGAGAUGGCUAGCAGGCUGAAAGGGUCAGGCCUGCAGGCCCUCUCCCCAGGGCUUUUCACUAUCCUAUUCUAAUCUCUCACCCCAGCCCUAAGUGACACCCAUUUGCCUUCUAACCAGAGUCUCCUGGAGACCAGACCCUAUAGGAUUCAGCCCUGGGCCUCUCAGACCUUCAGGGAAGCCUGGCGUUUCUGGGACAGGUCAGUCUUCAUGGAGCCCCCAGGUCACACUGGGAGGUGGGCGUCACCCUGGCUUGGAGGCAAGGAGUCCCCUCAGCACUCAGCCCACUGGACCUUCCUUGUUCUGCCCUUUGAUUUCCCUGUCUGGGAACAGGUUACAGGAACCCGGGGCUUUGGAAGUCAGAGGGCAAUGGGGACAGAGAGGAAGAGUGGAACCCUUGUUCCCCACAUGUGGUCAGACAAUGGUCUUGUGGCCCAAAGCAAUGUGACCCAGAGCCCAGCCCACUUAGGCCAGUGCAAGAUGGACUGGACACUGUCACCAGCAGAGGAAGCUGCAGGUGCCCUGCCUGCAGGCCCAGAACCUGGGGCCUUGGUGCUCACACAGAACAGACCUGAAUCUUUGGGGGAAGGCACAUGCUUCCAGAUCUCUGCUCAUUUAGGGCUGAAGGCUAGGCCAUAAUCUCAGAAUGAGGCCCUGGGCCUGCAGGCUGGCAGCUCACUAGACCCCUCAACCGCACAGGUUGGUUAGAAGGGGAUGGUCAACUGCCUCCAGGUGGGGUGGAGGAGCCCAGAGGGGGCCGUGAUGCUGCCUCAGAGACAUCUUCCAUCCCCACUGACUGCUGCCCAAAUUCCCCAUUGGAGCUUCAUGCUUUAGCUAGCCUGGGCCCUAUUAGGAUGAAAGCCUCUGUUCACAGAGUAGGGGGGUGGGGAGGGAGAGCAGGCAUCCUGGCAUGGGGGAGGGAGGCAGUGCCAGGCCAGCUGGCAGAAGAGUGGGAGCAAUGGGAACAGGAGGGCAAGUAGGGAGCCAGCACCCUUAGCCCACAGCGGCCUGGCAACCAGGGGAUCCUGACUCCAAACUUGAGACCAGGUGGACUCCCAAAGACUGACCUGGACCAAGUCCCAACUCCCAUUGAGGGGUUGGGGUACUUUUACUUCAAGUAGCCAGAUAUGGCUCAAUCCAACCGCAGGUAGGAGGCUGAGGCCAGGAUCAGCUCUGAGGGGCAUGUGGAGAAGGCCAAAAGCUAUGGUGAUGUGGGCUGGAGCUAGCAGGGAGCCUAGGCAGCCGAAGCAGUAAAUGGCUCAGGACGUAGCCCCCAAGCCUGGUCCUUGUGUGUGCUGGCUGCUAGUACAGGGUGGGGUUGGUCACCAGCCCUCAGGUGCAGGACUGGAUUUUGAUGGCACUUCCUGGCUUUGUCACGGCAGAAGCCCUGAUUGGCUGAAGCCCUGCUCUGAUCCACCUGAGAUGCCCAUUACCCAAGAGGCUGGCAGGUAGGUACAGCUGGCAGUGGGUGCGCAAGGGGCACCCAGGUGGAGUCCCAGAGACAGCCCAGGCUGGCACAAGCCACUAAGAUGGAUUAAAAAGUGGACAGGGGAGCCAGCAGAGCCCAGGCCUCGUAAUGACAAAUUUUCUGCUGAACAACUACAAAUAUUCGCCGUGACUUUGGACAGAGUCUGAAAAAGACUUUGUUUCCUCCCUUGGCGGUAUCAUUUGUCUUGUUUUGAAGCCACGAGAUUGCAGGCACGAACUUAUAGACUAAAGUUUGUCUUAAUUGCCGUGGUGUCACCACCUCUCUGGCAGAUAACAGCACAAUGAACGAGUCGAUGGGGCUGAGCCCUCCAGGUCCUUCUUCUAAAGUGAGACAAAUUUCCCUCCUUUGAGCCCAACAGUCCAUCGGCAGCUCUGUCAUUUAUUUAUCUCCCUAACAGUUUGCAUUAACUUGCAGGGGAUAAGAAGUCUCUCCUGCCCACAGACUUAGUUAAAAGCAUCCAGUCGGGCUGUACUGCUGGUUCUCUGUAAGAAUUUGCUUUAUACCUCCCACCGCAUUGGCGGGGGCAGGCAGCAGAGGCUGUGGUGGUAGGGAGAGCAAUGGGGUUCACACUGAGAAAAACAGUGAGGGUGGCAGAAUGGGAAAAGAGUGAGAAGGAUACCCGGAGUUGCAGUGUUCAGAUCACUUUUGUUCUGAGAAAGAAGAGAAACAGUACCAUUUGCAGUAUCAACUGGCUUGGCAAACCACCUGCAGGCUCACCUUAGCUGGUCCUCCCAGCACCCUGGCAAGGGCACAGUUGCCCCACCCCUGUGUCCCACUCCAUGUUCCCAUCACGGGGGCCGGGGUUGGGCGGGAGGUGAUGCUCUACUCUCUGAAUGAGCGGAGCUCUUUCUGCCUCUGAGCAAUUGCACAGGCUAUUCCCUCAGCCCCGGACACCUUUCCCUACCAUCUGUUUUUCUCCUGCCCAGCUCCUACUCAUCUUCCAAGGUUCACCUGAAAUGCUCCGGGGAGGCCUUUUCUGACUCCCCAUGUGACUCUCCAUCAUCUCCCUCCUGACCUCUCUGCCUUGUCCUCAUGGGUUUUCUUGCUUCAGCUGUCUGCCUUGUUCCAGUGAAAGCCCCAGGAAGGCAGGAGCUAGGGCACUACUUGGCAUCAAAAGAUGCUCAAGAAAUAAUGGCUAAGGAUUUCCAUCAUGGCGCAGCAGAAACGAAUCCAACUAGGAACCAGGAGGUUGCGGGUUCAAUCCCCAGCCUCGCUCAAUGGGUUAAGGAUCCGACAUUGCCGUGAGGUGUGGUGUAGGUCACCAAUGUGGCUUGUAUCCUGCAUUGCUGUGGCUGUGGCAUAGGCCGGCACUACAGCUCGAUUCAAUCCCUAGCCUGGGAAC
ensembl:lncRNA